CACGUAGUUGGCCGGUGCUUCUUCUGCAGGUACCGUCACUUGCGCUUCGUCCCUGCUGAAAGAGGUUUACAACCCGAAGGCCGUCGUCCCUCACGCGGCGUCGCUGCGUCAGGCUUUCGCCCAUUGCGCAAUAUUCCCCA
rnacentral:rRNA from 1 species